rfam:Stegodyphus mimosarum contig41591, whole genome shotgun sequence.
GCCUUCGUGAUGUAGUGGUCAGCACGCUCGACGCGUAACCGAUAGGUCCGUGGUUCGACUCCCGGCGAAGGCG